GGGCAGUUGUUUCCGUGGGGCAGUUGUUCCCCCCAACCCCCUCAGACCAUGCACCGAAGGCGCCACCAAGGGCUCAGCACUGUGGGGGGUCCCCUCUCAAGGCUCUCCCCCCACCCCCCAGAAGACCCCGACCUCUUCCUGGAGCCCACCCAGAGAUUCUUGCUGCUGGCAGGCCAGGGUAGGUGGCCCGGAGGCCUGGGUCCCUUGGAGGGGGUUGGGUGGAGGGGGGGUCCCGGACACUGGGGUCCCCAUGGAGAGGGGUGUCCUGCAGCCCCCCCAGAUGCCUGGGUCCUCUCUAGGGUGGAGUCCGGACCCAGGACCCUGCCUCGUCAGCGACUCGGAGGACGACAAGCUGCCCUGGCCGACGUGGAGGACACAGAUGUGUGCCCAGAUGUGGAGGAAAGGGGCCCAGAUCCAGAUGUUGGGUGUCCAGAAAGCCACAGAACAGCCCCCGGAGACCCAGAUGUGAAGACAGAGACCACAGAUCGAGAUGUUGAAGGACGACAGACUCUCCUGGUGGAGAGUGAUACAGAUGUGGAGGAGGAUGUUUCCAAUCCAGAUGCUGAGCCUCCAAAAACCCAUCGAGCAACCCAAAAUGUACCGAGAAACCCACAUCUGGAGAUGGAGAGCCCAAAUCCAGACGCCGAAGGACCCCAAAAGAAACAAUGGACAAUUGUGGUGGACAGCGAUACAGAUGUGGAGGAGAACGAGGUGAAUCCAGAUGCUGGGCAUCCAAAAAUCCAUAGAAUUGUGUGCAGAGGCCCAGAUGUGGAGGGGGAAACCCCAAAUCCAAGUGUUAAAGAACCCGAAAAGAAAUAUUGGAACCUAGAGGUGGACAGUGACACCGACAUUGAAGAAGAUUGGAGUCAAGCUGCUCUUCGCCCAAAAAGCCACAAAACACCCCAAAACACCCGCAAAGACCCAACUGUGGUGAUGGAGACCCCGAAUCCCGAUGUUGGUGGCCUCAGCCGUGGCUCGGUGGCCUCCAAUGGUGACAGCGAUACAGAUGUGGAGGACCUCGACGCCCUUCCCAAAGUUGGAGCUCCAAAAGCACGUGGGACAACCCCUGAGGUCAUGGAUACAGCUGCUAAGAUGGCCGCUGCUCCAGAUGUUGACCCCGAGGGGCGGCCGCGGACCAAUGCCCAUCCAGAUGUGAAGGUGUCGUUCCCAAAUCCCGAUGUUAGCGCCCUCAAAGCUGAGUGCCCCCUCGUGGAUGUGGGCAGUGACACAGAUGUUGAGGACAAUGGUGCCAUUCCAGAUGUUGGGACAGUGCAGGGGUGUCAAGGGGCAUCUGGUGACCCAGAUGUGGCCAUGACGUCCCCAAAUCCAGAUGUUUCCCCUCCUGCCAGCCCGCGGGAGAGCAGCGACACCGACGUGGAGAUGUUGCCCCCCACUCCAGAUGUUCGGGGCCUCCGGAGCCGAAUCAGGUUCCAAAAUCACCCCCAUCCAGAUGUUGCGGGCCCCACCACAGGCCGCGACACCGAUGUGAAGGAGACGGCCCGAAAACGCCGGAAAUUGUCCCCCAAAAGGCAGGGUUCCCCCCGCCAAUCUGAGAGUGUGGCAGGGAUGCUCCCAAAACAUCACGAUUUAGCCCCAAAUCCAGGUGUUGGGACCGAGCGACGUGACGUGGAGACCCCGGUGAGGGGCAAGGAUCCAGCUGUGCCACCAGAUGUUUCUGCGCCCAAAUGCCCCCGUCUGACCCCAGAUUUGAGUGACGCUGCUGAUACCGAUGGCGGAGCCAGGAGCGCCAGGACCACGGGCGCGGUGGUGACAGAGAGUGACACCGAGGGUAAGCGGGGUCCCCUCCCGGACACCUGGGUCCCCUCCCGGACACCGGGGUCCCUUCUCAAGGCUCUUCCCCCCCCCCAGAAGACCCCGAUGUCUUCCUGGAGCCCACCCAGAGCUUCUUGCCACCGGCAGCUGAGGGCACAGCCCUGGGUUGGGACCCCGAGCAGCCCACCCAACCCUUCUGCCCCCCCGAGGAGGAAGAGGAGGAGGAGGAGGAAGAAGAAGAACAGCCCCCCCGGGAACCCCCCCAGGAACCCCCGGCUGCCUGGGUGCCCCCGGCGGAGCCAGUGA
rnacentral:lncRNA from 1 species